rnacentral:lncRNA from 1 species
ACCAGACACUUUUGGAUAACAUAAAUAGGAAACAAAUAAAAUAAUAACAGUCAGUAGGCUACACAAACAUUAGUUUCCAUUCAUACAAAGUGUCGGGUAAAUUACCACAGUAGAUUUGGCGUGGUAAAUGAGGAAAUAGUUGAUUUAUUUUGUACGGAAUGCUUGUCAAAUAGAUAAAUCACCCUUAGUCUGUUCAAAAAGGACUAAAUUGUUGCGAUGACAACACCAACCAGAGGGCGAACAUAGCAUCUUUCAGGGAGCUGUAAUGAGGUGACCAAUUAAUGGUUGCAAUUAAGAUCAGCUGUGAAGGUGAAUUUAGCACGUAUCGGUGGUUUAACAAGACCAGCUGGCAAUAAUAAGGUUGCUACCUGUUGAGGCAGAAUUUCCAGGCAGGACUUCAAAAUUGGCAUGUCCCAAUUCCAUGUAUCCAUCGCCGGGAAGCUAUCCGUUAACACCUUGCGGCGUAGCAAAAAAAUGAUUGACGGCAGACAGAAGACCACACUUGGGAGAACAUUUUCCAGAAAUCCACAAAAUAGACUAAAGUGGCACCUGAUCACGUUUCACUCCAUUGUAUUGGCUUGACAGGAGAAAAACAGUCCUGCACGACUCGUUUGGAAGUUGAAUGAUAUUCCACCCUGCAGAUGUAAGGAACUUGUUAUGAACCUCCCAGCCACCAGGAUAAUCACCAUAUCCCAGGAUAUUAUUUAGGAGUGUUCCAACCUCACAAUGUUAGAAAUAGAUUCACCCAUGAUAUUAUUUAUCAUGCAGAUUUGUCAGGACAUUGUAAUUUAUAAAGUUAAUUCUGAAAUAUGAUAUCUGCCCCAGGGGAUUCAGUUUAGGCCCCAAUUAGGUGUUAGUGAAGGGCUGAAAAAAAACAACGGUAAACUCCUGUCUCAAAUAAGACCUGAAGGUCAGUCAAUCAGGAAAAUCAUGGAGUGAGUAGGUGUGUCCAUCAUUUUGAUAUAUAUAUAUAUAUUAAAAAAAAAAAAAAAAAAAAAAAAAAUUUGGACAUGUUAUCCUUCAUCACAUGCAACUAUUUAUUUUGUAUCCAUUGCAUUUAGCUUACAUUAGGAAGAAGUAGCCUAGGCAGUCUAAUCUAGUUACAGUAGAUUGCAUCGUAUCACCUUUCAAUAUUAUUAACGAAUAUGAAACCAUGUUAACUAGAACAUAUAAUUUAAUAUUCAUGGGUGUCAUAUUUGUAUGACUAUCACAAUGCAAGCCUACUCAUUAGAAAAAUACAGCAGCUCUAAUGCAAUAUUAGCUUCACAAUGAAACACCACUAUUCUUAAACAGUCAGUGAAAUAGCUUAUUUAGCAGUAAAUGAAAAUCGUAGCCUGUAUGAUAUCAUGCAUGCAAACUUGUCAUGUCCACAACAAUGGAGCAGCAAACCAAGCAACAUACGAGAGGACCCCGUACCGUAGGAUAAUAAUUCUGGUUGGUGUCAACUUCAUUCAUAAUUCAGGUACUGAGGAGCUCGAUUCAGUUACUUGUUAAUCUGUUAUUCGUGUCAGAUGUUUCCAUUUUGGGAUAUCCUUGCUGCACAAUUUUCCUACUGCAAUGAAAUGGGUAAUAUUAAGAUCCGACAUCUGUACAUAGUAGUACUCUAACUGUUUUCUAGUAAUUCUAUAGGCAGACUCUUAAAAAAAAAAAAGGUGCUGCCUAGUACCUAAAAGGGUUAUUUGACUGUUCCCAUAGGAUAACCUUUUGAAAAAGCCUUUGACUCCAGAUAGAACCCUUUUGCGUUCAUGUAGAACAGUUUACACAGAGUGUUCUACGAU